GAAUGGAAAAGGGCUUCCACAUCAGUGGUGUUCGAGGACGCUCUCCAACUUUUGAUGUCCCGUUUGCACGGAGAUUUCCCUGGAGAGUUUCAGGUGGCAAAAGGAACACGAUGGUUCCUGCACAUCCUGGCAUGCAGAUGAAGGGCAGUCUGUCACAGGUUCCCAAGCAGGAGUCCUGAGAUACACCUUGACUGGACCUGAAAAUACAAAAAGAUAAAUGACAAGAAAACAAGACAAUGUAGAAGAGGAAUUUGAAAAACAAGAGCUGACAGCCAUUGGUUUUAAAUGGGACUACCCAAUGAGAGUGGCUGUUCACAUUGAUGUGAAACAUUGUCCAGUUUUAAGACCUGUAUCACAUGCCUCCUGAGACGUUCUGAGAAGAAUCCAAAGCCUCUGCGGUGGCAUGAAAAUUCCAUGAGGAAAUAUGAGACAAUCCAAAACUCAGGCCAUUCUAUAAAUAAUGGACUAGUACCUUUCAAAGGCGUCAAGGCUUUGAAAAGACAAGGAAAGAUUGAGGGACUGUUCCAGAUUAAAGGAGACCAAGGAGACAUGACAACUAAUGCAACCUGGGGUCUCCGGUUGGAUUCUGGGCCAGAAAAAGGACACGGUGGGACAGUUGCUGAAAUCUGAAUCAGGUCUGUAGAUUUGAUAAGAGUAUGUAUUAAACUUAAUUUCCUGAUUUUGGUAAUUGUACUAUGGUAAGGCAAAAUAUUCACUUUGUGGGAAUCUGAGUGAAGAUUAUACCUGUAUUUUUUGUACAUUCGUAUUUUUUCUGUAUACUUGAACAAAAACCAUCUAGGAUAGGCAACGAUACAGAAAUUUCUUAAAAUUAUUUUUGUGAAAGUGAUACUCAGAGGAAACAACAGAAAUCUAACUAAAUGUAACAUACAUCAGAGCAUCUCACAAGGUGCCCCUUAAAAAGAAUUAGAGAAGAUAAUUUGAGAAGUGGCUUGCAUUUCUCUUUGCCAAACAUAGAAUCUCAGUACUGGAAGAAACCUUAAAGAGAAUACCGGAAAGAAAGAAACCAGCCACAACCUUCCCGUCCAACAACAGAGGAAUAAUUCUUUAGGGUUCACCCAUUCCCUAGACUUAUACAACCAUUAAAGUGUCUACUGAUGAGAAAUCGUGUAGCAAAAUGGGAAAAUGUUUUUAUUAUAAUUUCAUUUAUUUAAAAAUCAGGAUACAAGGUAUAUGUACACUUUCUGGCAGGGAUUGGUGGCUCAUGCCUGUAAUCCUAGC